rnacentral:misc_RNA from 2 species
AACGCACAUUGCACCGUGGGGUAUUCCCCACGGUAUGCAUUGAUGAGCGGUAAACUCCCUCGUCUACGACGGUCUUGCCACUAAAGAAAAAAGUUCAAUAUCAAAAACAUUGUCCUCUUCUCCUUUCCCUCAUCAAUGUAAGACUACCCGCUGAACUUAA